rnacentral:snoRNA from 1 species
AACCUAUGGUGAGGGCACUUUCUCAGUAAGUCCUUGAAUCUCUCUCAUGCAUCGUAAACUGUUUCUAAAUCCAUCGGUAUAAAAGAAGAGAUAUCAUUACGUAAUUU